AUUCGUUCCUGAACUCAUACUAAAAUUGGAACAAUACAGAGAAGAUUAGUAUAGCAUGGCCCCUGCGCGAGGAUGACACACAAAUUCGUGAAGCGUUCCAAACGUUC
rfam:Ancylostoma duodenale strain Zhejiang A_duodenale-1.0_Cont238652.1, whole genome shotgun sequence.